GUUCUUGUAGUGUAGUGGUUAUCACGUCCGCCUCACACGCGGAAGGUCCCAGGUUCGAGCCCUGGCAAGAACA